rnacentral:misc_RNA from 1 species
CAAAUCUUUGCGAGUCUGCGUACUUAACCGUACGCAGUUCUCACACAUUAGCACAGGGCCGCAAGGCUCUGAUGUUUACGCUUGUAUGUUUGACAGAGUUAGUUGAGAAUAAAAAAGA